rnacentral:misc_RNA from 1 species
CACGUCUAGAGGGCCUCUCCAAACCUAUCUGCCCGCUUUUCUCCGCCCUUGGGGUACAACGAACAUCCAAGUACGCAAGAGAAAGAAAACGAAGAUUCACCGCUCUGUUUUGUGCGACGGAGCAGGGCGGCUGCGCGCUUCUGCGUACGUUCGCUUCCAAUCCAAAAGGGGAAAGUGGAGAGUGAGCUGAUGGCUUUUCUUCCUCUCAAUCGUUUAUUCGUUCUUAUCUUCCCAAGGUCCCUACUGAGCCUUCUUACAUUAAUUCAUGCCACUUCUGCCGGCUUCGCGCUCGGCAUCGGCGCCCCUUUUUGAGUCCUUGCUGCUAGCAGCUCGGUUCGUCCUUUGCCAUCAGCACGCCUUGUCCUAGCCUACGUCAUAUUCUCUGUCGCCUGUGCUCGCUUAAGGAGUUGUUUCGUUGAAAAGCCCGUGUUCUCCCCCCAUACGCGCUUGCACAGAACCGAAUCUGUGUUUCGACUCCCUUUUUUAUGUUUUCACUUUCAGUGACGCUUUCGCGCCGACUGCUGCUGUUCGGCAAAGGAAGGGUAGCGAGGCGGCGUCCACACGAACUGCCACUGCUCUUUAUGUUCUUUCUUGUGCUUUAAUCACUCACCCUUUAGCUGCCAUGCAAGCUCACGUACAUGAAGGACUCCAACAUGACGCACUCCCCUCAUGGGACAGCGCUUUCAACCGUCCAGCAGCUUCAUACUCUUGGCUGUGUACUUUACUGAUAAACAAAAGAUACAGCGCCACAGCUACCGCCCGGGAGGCACAUCAGCGGUACGCCACGCAAGUAGACGGCAAGAACAGCAUUUUUAUCGCCUUAACGCUGCGAAGCAGUAAGCAAGGUACGCACACCGACGCAGGUGCAGUAGCAAGAGUGCAGGCAAGCAUGCCAGCAUUGUCGUUUCCCACGUCGUCUUCGUCGGGAGCUCCGCUGCGGGCGCAUCAUCUCCCGUUGCCACAGAGAAAGAUGCGCUGUCGCCCUCGUCGCGGCGCCUACGGCAAACUGUCUUCCUUGCAGCCAACGGCGAUGAAGCGCCCCUGGUGUCUGAUGCCGCGCGCCAGCAUGCAAGCCCAACAGCAUCCACAAUGGGUUUGACCCUCCCCUGCGCUUUCGACGCUGGUUUAUGAUGGCGCUGCAGGCCUGCGGCAUUUCUCUGGCCUGAGCGGCAGCAGUGCUAACCGAAUCACGCGUGCCUCGUCCCAGAACGCCGCCGCUGCAAGCACGCGCAGCGCUGGCUUCUGCACCAUUCUCCGUCGAGAAUGGGGGCCGGAGAACCACCAUAGGCAGUUUGAGAAGCCACGUGGCGCCUUUGUGUAUGAGCUCUCUGAUGCCAUGGUGGAGGUAGUGGUGGCGUGGGUGUCUGACCUCGGGGAGGGGCUCCGUUCUCCCGGCACCUGAGGCGUUGUACCAGCAAGUGCCGCUAUGAUGUUGCUAGUGGCAUAUGCCUGUUGCGCUGCGCGCAGUAGUGAGCGCACCACUAUCACAAUUUUGUGUGCCGCUGACGCUUGGGAUGGAGGUGCCAGGGUUCCGGUGCCGUGCAUAUCGUUGUCCCUGGUUAGUGUUCCGUGGCAGGGGUGGAAUGCAGUGGGGAUGGUAUGGUACUCUUUUUGUGGCCUAUGCGCAACGCUGCGUCUCAUAUGGUUUUUGGACGGCGUCUCGGGUGGAAGAGGAGAGGCGGCGCCCGGGUUCUUCUCCAGCGGGCAGCUCAGCUCGGCAGCGGCAGUGGGGGGGGUAUGCCGGCUGCAGCAAGUUGUGCCGCAGAGGUCGAAGGUAUGGGUAAUGUGCUGGCAAAGGGGUCUGUCGGUUGGUCGCUGCUACAACAACUGGAAUCUUCGCUGUAGUGCAAGGAGUACUACGCCGGCGCGGCCUCGGUGCUUGGCUUUGAUGCUGGCACCUCACAACAUCCGGGAAGCGCCAGCAGAGCGUGGGGCGGUCGGCAAAUAUCCGUCUUUCACGGCGGCCCACCGCCGCUCACAGGUACUGCGAAAGUCGGGUGCGAUUGGAUUGUCCAUCAGGAACUUGCUGCCAGCGGCAGCUGGUCAAUGCGGCCUUUUUCGCGCGCGACAGCGGGCCGCAGCGCACCCCGACCAUCGGCGCCGACGCGGGGCGGUACAGUGUUGAUCGCGCCAGCCGCCUUUAUCAGUGGGACACUCCGGCGCCCUGGCAAGCGGCGCCGGUACCGCAAAAAGAAAUUUACCUUUCUGAAAGUGGGUGCGUGCAGCGGGCAACGGAUCUCAACUAGCUUAUACUGCAGCUGAAGCAGCGCAUCAUGUUUUGUCAGCAGAAAGCGCAAUCGCUGCCGCAUCACACGCAGAGACGACGGGCAGUGGUGGCAGGCAGCACUUCAAGACGCCGCCACGCGAUGAGGACAACACCGAGGCGUCGCAGCCUGGCGGCGAUGACAAGCUCGAAAUUGUUGAAGACUUAAGUCUUGCCGGUGGUGAGCACAAGGGGACGUCUGAUGAGCGCAAGGAAGCAGAAGCAGGUGAUGCGCUGGGCGAAGCGAGUCUUGACGCCACUACUGGCGCCACCUCCACGCGUCGUCGUUUGCGUGCCUUCGUAGAGCCUGAGCGCGAAGUGGUCGGGGCGCUGCUGCCCGAUUUCCCGCGGCAUGUGGUGAAGGGCGCCUUCACUGUUACCCCUACGGGUACAAGUAAUGCAAACAGCAGCAGCUGCAGCACCGAGGCAACAGGAACAGGAUUAGUGGAGUCGCUCCGGGCGGCAACUGUAGCGACAUGAACGGUGCUGCUCCUGUGCCGCGCUGGGGAGCAGGAAGCAGCGCUGCCCUGUUGGCGUCCGCCAACCGCCUCUCAACAGCCGAUGCCAGUCGCUCUUCGGCAGCUGGAAACACCCCCGGCGAGAGCGGCAGCUACCCGGUGUUCAAUCCCGCCCUGCGCGGCGUCACCUUCAGACCUGGCAUGUUCGAAGAGUUGCUUCUGGCUGUCAAUGCGCAGCACGUUGCGCGGCCCUAAAGCGGCGGUGAAAAGGUGGAUGAGUGGCAUCUGCUCCACAAGAACGCUCCCGCGAUGUCGCUUCGGGGACAGCGCACCAGCACCACUGACGGCAGGGUCCGCGUCACACAAGAGGGAACGAAACGUAAGCUCCUCUCGCCUUUACAGCGUGAGCGCGGCGUGCCACUCCGCUGCGAAUGAGGAGGUAAAUUAAGUCGAAGAACAGCACCUCUAUCCGGGCUGGUCACCCCAGUGCCUGCGGGAGAUUGUUGAAAUUCCACUGGCGGUGUGGCCGACAUGCGAGGAUGUGAAAGAGCUUUUGCGGGGCAGACGUGUUGCGACCAUUAUCCCGCUCUAUCAGCUCCGCUGGUAAAGCGCCUCGCAUCGGCUGCAGCGCACUGCACGUGUUGUGGCAACUGCGCAACCGUCGCCGCUCAACUCAGGCUUCGCGUUGCUCUCCACAGUGUGUGGCACCACGCUGGGCCUGUCGCUGCGCCUGCGGUGCGGCGCGAUAGAGGGUGCCCUGGGGUACGCGAAGCAACCCGAGGUGGGCAUGAUCAUCGCUUCCUCUAACCACAGCGCACCACUGAACGGCAGCGCGACAAGGCGGGCGUGUGUGGCAGAUUCAGUGGGUGUCUGACGCUGGUAUCUGCCGAAGCAGAUGAGGACACCCUCAAUACCGCGUGCCCUAAUGCCUCGGUGUAUCGGUGGUUGCGCAUUCUCAACGGUGAAGUUGACCUUCACGGGAUCAUAUCCGCCAUGUUGCAUCUGACGGAGUUCACCGAGAGCAUGAGCAGCUUCUUGCUGCGAAGUAAAAUCGACUUGCUAGUCACGAUGACGCGUCACUUCACCGCAAAGUGGGUCAUAACAACGGUGGAGGCCGCUAUGGCGGAUCUGGACGCGCUCACCGGGGGUCUGCUGAACUUCAGUCAUGCAGAAGAUGGCACGCGAGCUGUUCCAUCCCUUCGCUCGCCUCGGUCACCGCGCGGCCUCAGCUCUUUUCGCCGCAUCCUGGCUCCUCGCACCUGGGUUGUUCUACUGAGAAGCGCAUCAGUGGCCCGGUGUCUAGGCCUAUGCCCCCGAGCCGCGCUGCAGCAACCGCGGUCGGGGCUACGGCGGGUCUGCCGCCAACAGUAUGACACCGUCGCCUCUGCUGUCGUUACAGUGGCGGUUUCGGCAGCCAAUCGCAGCAACGGCGCCAAACUACCUUUUACGAACCCGCUCGCGCAGUGCGCACUGCCACGCCUCACCGGAACCGAUAAGUCGGCUGCCGUCAUCGCAGCGAGGGCGUGCCGGGUCGUUUGACUCAGUAGGGAUGGCGAGGACCACAGCGACGCGUAAAAGCGACUAUCUGCCCUCUUUGCACGAUGUCGACUCUACGCCGCACUUCCGGCUCUCCUGGCACGGCGUACGCCGCUGCUGGAUGCGCACUGUACCCCGCGCGAAAGCCUCUCGCGCGCAGACAUGUUGUGCGCUCUGCGUCGAAAACGCAUUGCUCUCCUGCAUGGCGGGCACAGUGUAGAGGCUACAGUGGCGGCCGCGAAGACGGUCUCCUCCUGCUAC